AAAAAAUCAACCACUCAAAAGAAAAACAUUCAGUCUCUCAAUCUCGAGCCUUCUCCUGUCACCGCUGUCUCCCUUCCAUCGACGGCGCCGCCGCAUACUCCUAUCCCCUCCAGUGCGUUGGCCGGCCCCUCCUCUCCUCGCCAUCUCUCCUCCAUGUUGCGCGCCGAGCCCGUCAUCCCUUCCCAUGUUGUACUCGGCCGCAUCUUCCUGGCUCGAUUGGUUCGAUCUGCUGCCAUCCACUACCCGUCAGGUUAUUCCGGCGGUGCGGCGGCGGCGAAGCUUGGCGCGACGAUGGAGCCUGCCUGUCUGGCGAUGGGGUGGGAGUCGGAUAGGCGCGCGGCGGUGAUUGUGCAGUCACGGAGACAGCUCUGCAGUCCCGAUGGUGUCGCUGCUGCGGUGGUUCCAUUCCGGCGGCAUCGUCGGCCCGUUCAAAACAGGGCUCGUGCAUGGGGUGGCCCGCCCAUCAAGACAGAGGCAUGGCCGGACAUCGUUAUCGCUCAAAUAUCAGUGCGUUUCUCGCAAUGGAUUACUGGGAAGAUGAAGCAAUGGCCCUCUUCCCUCUCCGUCAAUACAGUUUUACAGGCUAAUCAGCUGGCACCUUAGAAAGGUACACAGCCAUAUCUGCUGCAGAGAGGUUAUCACUCUUCUACGCUGAGCAUGCCGACAGGAGCUUCUUCAACAGUCCGGUGAAGCACACCAUUUUGGAUCAACUCCUCACAUAGACCCGCAUUGAGGGAGGAGGACGGAGAGGCCGACAACAAGGAGCGGGUGUGGGUGUUCAUCCUCGCUGCUGACCACAAGUGCUGCGAGAAAUUUUGGGAAGAAUUCUAUGCCUCCACUGGCCACAGUAGGUACGGGCGGGUGUGGCUAUGAAGAAGUUCCCGGAGGCAGCGGACUGGAAAUCGGGUGUGAGCGGCCGAAGAGGCUGGGACCGGCGAGUGGCAGCAGCUGGCUGGAGGCGGCGGGAGGAGCCCGGUAGAAGAAAGCAGGUAAGUAGCGGCGGCCUACAUGUCUAUGGUUUGGUACAUGCCGCCAUCUAAACACUUACAAUGAACAUCAAUGUUUCCGAGCUUUGCUUGUUGAGCCUGUCGUUGCCAUGUAAGCCAGCCACCAAGUGUUCAGAAAAUAUCUGAAGUUAUAUUCUACAGUAGAAUCUAAUCACCUUAUUGUCGUUGUUUUCUGUGUCAGUCAUUAUUUGGAUAACACCCUAUUGUAGAAUCUCGGUGAUGUUAGGACAUUGCAAGCAUUAUUUGAACUUGAAGCGCUUCUUCUUACAAGUAUGAUCAUUUUAUAAUCGUUUCUUUGGUUGUGGUGGAUUAUUUAGUGAACAUAAUUCCUUUUUUAGGUCAUUGCAUGAAAAAUAAGAAUACUUAUAUCACUGAAUUUCUGGUGGUUUUCUUUGGAAGUUAGUUCAGUUAGGCGCUUCUAACUGCUUAAGCUCAAUUUAUCUCCAGUUGCCCUUAAUUACCAGAUGUUGGGUAUUUUCUUCCAUGAAACUGCUCUUCAGUUUGAUAUAAUCUGCAGGAGCAAUCCAGGAGCAUGGUGUGUCACCUAUGUCCUAAUCAAGUGUGUGAUCUCCUAGUGGCUACUGAAUUAUAACGAGUUUUGAACUUUGUUGACUUAUUUUCCUUAUCCUGCUUGUUAGGUUUUCAUGUCAUUCUGCACGCUGCUCAUAAUGUGCAUUUCUUGUUAUUUGCUAGUGGUUGUACUGUACAAAGCUUGGUCUGUUAUUGAAACACAUAAGUGCGGCAGCAAAUUCAUAGUGUACAUUUGUUGUUAUUUGCUAAUGGUUGUACUAAACAAAGCAUGAUCGAAACACAUCCUUUAUGUUAUGUCCAAAAUUAGCUUAUUAGUCCUUUUUAGUGGGGCAAACUUAUAUAUGUCAAUUUUUCCUCCAGCUGUGUAUUACAUAUUGUGAUAAUUGUACAAAGGCUGCCAUAAAAGAUACGCAUGUCUUCAGAUCAGCAAUAUGCCAGGCAAAUAAUGGUCGAAACACAUACCUUAAUUUCUGCUCUGUGUUCAGGCCCUAGCAGAGCUUGAACCUUAUUCAGCAAAUAAUGGUCACUGAGUCUUGGUCGUCACUGGACCACAAUUCUUGACAUACUUCCAUGGACGCUGGAAGUAACAUGAGCUACAGAUAUGCAUCUCAAUGGGGGGUUACUUCUUUCCUCAACAAGUUACAGUACAGUAGGAGAGGGCAAUGAUGCUGACCUGUGACUUGACCUUCCAUGGAAAACUCUGGCUUGACGUGAGGGGGUCGUCGCUUCCAGAGAUCGUCGCCGGUCCGGUAGUCGCUUUAAGAGAUCGUCUCUCGGUCUGGUCGUCGCUUCCAGAGAUCGUCGCCCGGCCUGGUCGUCACUUCCAGGGAUGGGGAUGCCUUCACCAAAUGAGGCAAAAUCUGGCUCGCAGAUAUGUGUCGUCCAUUGGGAAGGUUUCGGUUGUAUACAUGGAAAGAAUCCAACUUGAUAUGUGGAAGGUCUAGGCUGUAUACACGGAAAGACUACAACGUGAUCAUGAAUUGUGAUAUGAUUUCUGCUAUACAUGGAAUACAUGUUAUGUACAAAAGGAAAAAGAGUCCGUUGUUAUGUAAAGGAAAAGAAUGUAAUUUAUGGAGUUCCCAAUUAGGAGUAGAAGAUUAUGGAAGCUAUUAUUUGGAAAGGAUCCCAUUGUUUCGAAA